rnacentral:snRNA from 1 species
AUGCGCUCACUUAAGCCGUACAUAUACUAAAAUCGGAACAAUACAGAGAAGAUUAGCAGAGCCCCUACUCAAGGAUGAAAUACAAAUUUGUGAAACAUUGCAUAGGAAA